rnacentral:tRNA from 1 species
CGGGAAGUAGCUCAGCUUGGUAGAGCGCCUGGUUUGGGACCAGGAGGUCGCAGGUUCGAAUCCUGUCUUCCCGA